GAUGAAGAACGCAGCGAAAUGCGAUACGUAAUGUGAAUUGCAGAAUUCAGUGAAUCAUCGAAUCUUUGAACGCAUAUUGCGCUCUUUGGUAUUCCGAAGAGCAUGCUUGUUUGAGUAUCAGUAAACACCUCAAAGCUUUUGGAUUUUUUAAUCGAAAAGCUUUGGACUUGAGCAAUCCCAACACCAAUCUUUUUGAGAUCGGUGGCGGGUUGCUUGAAAUGCAGGUGCAGCUGGACAUUCUCCUGAGCUAAAAGCAUAUUCAGUUAGUCCCGUCAAACGGAUUAUUACUUUUGCUGCAGCUAACAUAAAGGGAGUUUGACCGUAUUGGCUGACUGAUGCAGGAUUUCACAAGGGUCGGCAACGAUUCUUGUUAAACUCGAUCUCAAAUCAAGUAAGACUACCCGCUGAACUUAAGCAUAUCAAUAAGCGGAGGA
rnacentral:misc_RNA from 1 species